rnacentral:rRNA from 1 species
UGGGGAUUUUUCCGCAAUGGGCGCAAGCCUGACGGAGCAACGCCGCGUGCGGGAUGACGCUUUUCGGAGUGUAAACCGCUGUUCGGGGGGACGAAGCACUGACGGUACCCCCGGAGGAAGGCCCGGCUAACUACGUGCCAGCAGCCGCGGUAAUACGUAGGGGUCGAGCGUUGUCCGGAGUUACUGGGCGUAAAGCGUGCGCAGGCGGCGCAUCGCGCCCGACGUGAAAGCCCCCGGCUCAACCGGGGAGGGUCGUCGGGGACGGGUGCGCUUGAGGGUAUCAGGGGCUGGUGGAAUUCCCGGUGUAGUGGUGAAAUGCGUAGAGAUCGGGAGGAACACCCGUGGCGAAGGCGGCCAGCUGGGAUACACCUGACGCUGAGGCACGAAGGCGUGGGGAGCGAAAGGGAUUAGAUACCCCUGUAGUC